rnacentral:rRNA from 1 species
AUGCCGUGGGACCCGCUGCUGCGAGGCGUGCGCCAAACCUGCGCAACCCGUUGGCCUGGUGUCUCUAUGACGGUGGGGUUGGGUCGGCCGCUUAGGCCACGUGCCUUCGCCGCGUUGGUGGGUCUGCCUCCGUGCUGCCUGUUGUGGAGAGAGGCCACGCCCGUCCCUUGUUCAUCUUUCCUUCGUCCCUCCUUUUGCCUCUCUCGGUUUUCGCUGUCCACCGUUCUCCUCCUUCGCUCCACUAGGCUUCACUUCCUUUUCGCCUCGCCGCGGUUAGCUGAUCUUCUUCGUCGUCGCCGCGUGCAUGCCAGCGGCAAUGGCGUCUGCGCAUUCGGUCGGUGCUGCUGGUUAAGCCCAGUUUCUUCCCCUGCUGUCCUGCGCCCGUCAUCGCACCGUUCUGCCGUUUGCAUUAAGGUUGUUCGUCUGUUGCUGCGCCUUCGUUUGCUCGCUGCUGUUCUGGCUGUGCUUCUUCGGUCUGGUAAUGCGCUGCUCCUUAGCUUCUUCCUCACUGUGCGUUUGUGUGCUAAUGGUGAUGUUCGUAUGCAGAGGGCGAUCGGUAUAGAAGAGAUGUAUGCACAAAUUUCCCUAGCAAAGCCAUCAUGGCAGCCUGCACAUAAGGACUUCCGUGCGGCACAGUACUCUGUCGUCGGAGCAUACUGCCAUAUCCCUGCUCCCUUCUCCUUCUUCCAAUCCCUUGCCGCGCCUCUCCUCCUGCUCCCUCUCCCUCUGCAGGAUAAGCUGACACCUAAUAAGGAUCAGCAGAACAACAAAGAUGCUAAGAGGCAACCUUUUGGGUUUAAGGAUAUCAACAACAGGGCUUAUGAUGCCGAAGAGAGCUCGAGUGGCGUCUUUUGGUUCUUGAAGCCCUGCGCUUUCCUGGUGGAGUAG